GCAACCUGCUGCUCCAAAAGAUCCUGGAGCCGCUCGAAUCGGGUCUCCUGGCGCUGCACCACAUUGGUCAACGAGGUCACUUGCGCCCGCAACUGAUCCAUCUCGCUCGGUUCAGCCUGCUCGGGCACCUCGGGAAGCGGUGCCGGAGUAGACCUCGUGCUCGGGCGUCCUCUUGGUGCCAUUGGUUCCUGAAACGCAAGUACUUGGUUAAUUAUCUUAACC
rnacentral:lncRNA from 1 species